GAUGAAUGCUGGCGGCGUGCCUAACACAUGCAAGUCGAGCGGCAGCGCGGUCUUCGGACUGGCGGCGAGCGGCGGACGGCUGAGUAACGCGUGGGAACGUACCCCAAAGUGAGGAAUAACUGCCCGAAAGGGUAGCUAAUGCCGCAUAUGGUCUUCGGAUUAAAGGAUUUAUCCGCUUUGGGAACGGCCUGCGUACGAUUAGAUUGUUGGUGAGGUAAUGGCUCACCAAGUCGACGAUCGUUAACUGGUCUGAGAGGAUGAUCAGUCAGACUGGAACUGAGACACGGUCCAGACUCCUACGGGAGGCAGCAGUGAGGAAUCUUCCACAAUGGGCGAAAGCCUGAUGGAGCAACGCCGCGUGCAGGAUGAAGGCCUUCGGGUCGUAAACUGCUUUUAUAAGUGAAGAAUAUGACGGUAACUUAUGAAUAAGCACCGGCUAACUACGUGCCAGCCGCCGCGGUA
rnacentral:rRNA from 1 species